UCUUGGUCCUGCACAGCUGGACUAGUGGGAACUAAUGGGAACAGGUGCUCUCUGAGGAGCACCCCACUGAAGAUGGAGAGGGGCGUCACCAGGCCUACAGUCCUCUGCCUCUAAUCCUCUAUGUUUGCAAGAGCAGACACAGCAGUCACUUUGCAGCCUCCAUUUUGGGCUUUCAGCAGCUUUUCACUUAGAGAGUUUAAUUCUGUUCUCACUCUACCUCAGAUCCACUCCCUCAGGGCACACCAUGUCACCUCACACCUACCUUCUAAGAAUGCUCCCCGGUAUGCAGUGUUCAGCCUGUUCUGGGCACUCUCAGAGCUGGUCUGUCAGGCAGCAGGAUGAAGGUUGGUAGAAUAAACUUGCAAACCCCAUGGAAUAUAUGUUAAAUUUCAUUUACAGGAUUUCCCAGCCCCUCCCAUUUCGGCUGGGAGAUUUUUGUUUUGUUUAUAAAUUUGUUAGGAAGAGAAAAGACCCAGUGGAAGCUGUAUUUUCAUUUCAACAUUCUCUUGAAGUGUAGCACACGGUUAGAGUUGUGCAGACUAAACGUGCCGUCUUAUGUGUUUAUACAGCAGACGUGAGCCUGGGCAAGCUCCGGCCAAGCAUCUUAAACAAGCUCGGGGAGAGUCCUUGCCUUGCCCAGGAGCAAGACCCCAAGAUGGCCCUUGAUAUGUGGGCUGGUUCAGCUGUGCUAUUGGAAGGAGGAGGAAAGUAGAGGGUGAUCUGAGAGAGCAAAGACCAAGGACAGGAAGGCAGCGGAGAUGAGCAGUCACCCUCAGGAGAGGGGCGGGCAAUGCAGAGACCCGCCCUCCCAGACAAACCAAGAGGACACACACUCCAACACAAUGACAUUUCCAUGAACUGACCCCCCUGCCAUGUUUUCCAUGAGGAGGAGGCUUGCCCACUGUUCUCCCAUGAUGCUCAGCGCCUGUACCACAGACCAAAGCAGAACCUGAUGUUCAGAAGAUGUGUUUAUGGAGAGCUGUGCUAAGCCUAACCCACAGAGUGCUCUCUCAGUCUGAACUCUCACUUACUUUAAAAUAAAGAUGCAAGAUAUU